ensembl:lncRNA
UAAAUAACGAUUCAUACAUUUUACCAUUAGCAAAAGAAGACAAUAAUAAUUUUUUUAAAAAUAAAAAAAACACUAUGUAUUUAAAGGAAGGGAAAAAAAAAGAAAAUGAAGUUCGUAUGAUGAAUGGGUUGAAUGACUAUCAUAGUAAUGCAUGUAGUACUAUGCGUAGUAGUAAUCUUGCUAAUGAUUAUAAUAACAAUCAUAAUAAUAAUAAUAAUAAUAAUAAUAAUAAUAAUAAUAAUAAUAAUAAUAAUAAUAAUAAUAAUAAUAAUAAUAAUAAUAAUAAUAAUAAUAGUAGUAAUAGCAGUACGAGCAACAAUAACACAAAUAACAACAGUAAUACUAAUAACAAUAAUAGCAAAGAGAAAACUAAUGACAACAACAACAACAGCAACAACAACAACAGCAACAACAACAACAGCAACAACAACAACAGCAACAACAACAACAGCAACAACAGCAACAACAACAACAACAAUGAAUAUAUGUUUACUUACUUAAAUGCAUAUAUAAAUAAGAAUAUAAAAAAUAAAAAACAAGAUAACAUUCCUUGUAACAUUAAUAGUUUUAUCAGUCAAAAUAAUGACAAUACAUAUAAUGUAACUGAAAAUACAACAAAUAAUAGCAUUGUUAAAAACUAUAAUCAUAUGUAUAAAAAUGUAAUAGAUAAUAAUGAAUUAAAAGAGAAAAACAUAACAAUGAAUGAAUCUCAAAAUGUAAUAUAUAAGUUUGUUUCUAAUGAAAAAGAGGCAAAUAAUGAUAAACAUUUGAACGACUUUAUAAAUUAUUCAGUGUAUAAUACUACUUCUACUACUCCUACUACUCCUACUGCUGCUGAUACUCCUACUGCUGCUGAUACUCCUACUGUUGCUGAUACUCCUACUGUUGCUGAUACUCCUACUACUUUUUCCAAUACUGCCACUACUGCAACUACUACUACUACUACUACUACUACUACUGGCAAUAAUAAUGUUACUAAUUUAAAAUACAGCAAUGAUACAUAUAAUACAAUAAAAAAACAAAAUUAUUUUAAAAAUGUUAAAAAUGACAUGAACAAUAAAGAACAUACAUUAUACUUUGCCGAUACAGAUGCGAGUGCUUAUACUAACGCUCAUACUGGUACAUACACUUAUGACGAAGUAAAUAAAAAUAAGACUUUUAAUAAUAACGAAAAUACAGAUUUUAAAGUAAACUGUAUAAAACAAAAUGUAAAUGAAGACUUAAACAAAAAAAUAUUAAAAAAUAAUAUUUUUUAUGAUCAUAGCUUAUCUAUGAAUAAUUCUAUCGAAGAAUAUAAUCCUACUACUUAUGGUAAUGACCGUAGUCAUGCUUAUAAUAAUACUAACACAACUACUACUAAUACUACUACUACUAAUAAUAAUAAUAAUAAUAAUAAUAAUACUACUAUUACUACUACUACUACUACUACUAAUAAUAAUAAUAGUAACAAUAAUAAUAGUAACAAUAAUAAUAAUAAUAAAACAUGUUAUAACUAUAUGAGAGGUGAUAGUAAUUUAAGUGGCGAUUACAGUAAAAUUAAUGACCGCAAAAACAUGUACCCAAAUAUGUUUGAUUUACCUCACAAUUCUAAAGAAAGCAGCAACGUCUCAACUCCUAAUUUUGCUGAAGCAACUGCUAGCAAUAGUAAAAAAAGAAGUAGCAUCUGUGAAAAAUUAGAUAAUGUAUAUACUUCCGCAUUUAUUAAUAAUACAAUAAACUCGAAUGAGAUGACAAGGCUACAAGAAAAAGAAAGUUAUAAAAUUUUUCUUAACAUUAUAAACGAAAGAAUGAAAAAUUUUAUAAAAGAUAAAAAUCCAGUACAUGUUAAUAAUGUAUACAAAUAUAGUUAUUCGGCGGAGGAUAACAUAAGGCAUGAGAAUAACCAAGCGAAAGAAUUGAAGAACAUUAACAUUUUAAAUAGCAUAAACGACAUGAGCAAUAACAGUAACAUAUUUUUUUAUAAUAAUAAUAAUAAUCAAAAUAAUAAUAAUCAAAAUAAUAGUAAUAAUAAUCAAAAUAAUAGUAAUAAUAAUCAAAAUAAUAGUAAUAAUAAUCAAAAUAAUAGUAAUAGUAAUAGUAAUCAUAGUAAAAAAAACAUUAUAAAUAAUAAGAAUGAUAAAAUAACAGAAUAUAAUAAAAACAUAAAUAAAGAGGAACAAAAUAAAUUACAGUCGAUAGAAGAAACAAAGCAAUGUAUAAAUAUGAAUGAUGACACUUUUUCAAAAAAAAAUAUAAAUACAUCAGAGCACAAUACUUCUAUUUAUUCUUAUUUUAAAAACGGUGAAAUAAGUGUAUACAGGAAUAGUGCUAGUAAUGACAAUGAACUCGUAAAAAAUAAGUAUGUCAAGUCGAAUUGUUAUCAGUUAGGUAACAACAACAGCAAAAUAGGUGUCAGCUCAAAAAAUAAUAAUGAUAAUAACAAUGGGUGGGAUGAUAGCUAUUAUCACACUAAUUACGACAAAUCAGAAUAUCAAAUCGACGACAUACAAAAUUUUUCAAUAUAUAAUAACGUUGAGAUGUUAAAUAGGAGUUUAAAUAUAAUAGAAGAAGGACUUAAGUCGGAAUAUAUGUCAAAGAAUAACUCUUUUCUAGUAAAAAAAAAUAAUACAGGCGAUAGAUUGAAUGAUAAGGUUAAUGACAACAAUAGUCAUAACAAUAGUCAUAACAAUAGUCAUAACAAUAGUCAUAACAAUAGUCAUAACAAUAGCCAUAGUAAUAGCGAUAAAAACAACAAAAACGACAAGAAAGGCAACAAUGAAAGUGAUAAAAAAAAUAACAAUAAUAACAACUAUUUUGUAACUAAAAAAAAAAAUAACAUUAGUAAUGAUAAAAACGAUGACAAGGAUUGUAAGAAAACAAAUGAAACCUUAACAAAUGAAACCGUAACAACUGAAGCUAUAGAACAAAACAGUGUACAACAAAGUAAAUAUAUAACCAAUGUAACUAGCAGCAAUGUUUGUGAUAACAAUUUGCAGAUGCAUGUAUUGCACAACAAUGACGUGUACAUAUCAAAACCAUUUAAUAGUCACAGUGAAUUACAAAAUGAUACUGUAGGAUACAUAAAUGAUUCACAUGUACAUUGUAUUAGUAACAAUAGAAAUAACGAAGUUAUGACUUAUGAAAAUAGUUUGGGAGAAUAUAAGCAAUGGCACUAUAAUAGUAGUGAUGGUAGUAGUGAAUGUAUUAAUACAUGUACUAAUGUCGAAACGAAUGGAAUAAUGUCAAAUGGUGGUUAUAUUAAAAAGAGCAUGGUGAAAAAUAUGGCAAAGGGUACGACUAAGAGUUGCGUUAAGAAUGCUGUGAAAAAUAUAACUAAAAAUGGUCCGAAAAAUAGUAUAUUCUUUAAAAAUAUGUCAAAAUUAAAUACUAUGCACAAUCAUAACAUAUUUUUGAGGAACAUUGGUACUAGCAGUAAUAGCAUUAACAAUAGUGGGAUGAACAAUAUUGGGAUGAACAAUAUUGGGAUGAACAAUAAUGGCAUUAACAAUAUUGGGAUGAACAAUAAUGGCAUUAACAAUAUUGGGAUGAACAAUAGUAGCAUUAACAAUAGUAACAUUAACAAUAGUAGCAUGAGCAAUAGUGGUCCUAGUAUUAUUACAGAUAACAGCAACAGUAUUAAUCAUCUUUUGAAUACACAGAAUAAUGUAAUAUAUUAUAAAAACAUGAAUGAUAAAUAUUGCGACAGCAUUAUUUAUAAUAAAAAUAAGAUGGGAAAUAUAAACCAUAAAUUAAACACUUUGGAUACUCAGUUUAUAAACCCAAAUGAUUUAAUGGUAUCUAUGCAAAAUAAAAACGGUAAAGAUGUGAUGACUGGUAAUUUGGGCAGUGAUGUGAAUAAUAAUAAUAUUAACAAUAAUAACAGUGUACAGGAGAUAGAAAAAGAAAAAAUAUUUAUUAUGAAUAAUCAUAACAAUUACAAUAAUGAAUCAAUUAACAAAUAUAAUAGUGUAAAUAACAAUGGGGAUAAUUUUGUUUAUGUAGAUAUGUAUGGAUCUCGCAAUAAUAUAAAUGAUGAUGCACUUGGUACAUCAGUUAAUAAUCAUAAACAUACUAACACAAUGGAUAUAUUAAAAAGCUUUAAUAGAUUUUAUGAUAUAAAAAUGGAAGAAGAUGAAGGUGCAGUAGUAAUGCCUAAUGUAUCCGAAGAAUCAAAGACAACAAAAUAUAACAGUAAUAAUAACAUAACUUAUACAGUUGUUUCUAUGCCAAAUAGCCAAAUGGUUGAAACGAAAAGACAAAACCAACUUAUUGGAAAUAGCAGCACUAAUAAAAUGACAGUAAAUGCUGGUAAUGUAAGAAACAUAAAUAUACUAAACCAUGUAAAUAAUUAUGAUAAUUUUAACAAUAAUAAAAAUGUGAAUAUGGAAGUUAGUACAAACAUUAGUAGUAAUAUGUGUGCCGACACGAAUUAUCUAAACAACUACACAAAUCAAUUUAUAGAGAAAGAAACUAUAAAAAACAUGUGUGUCGUUAAUAACAACAGUGUCAUUACAAAUGAUAUAAAAAAUAACUUAUAUGAUAAGAACGUUAUACCGAUACAACUAUCCAAAAAUGGUAACAUACCAAUACAGCUAGCCAAAAAUGGUAAUAUACCAAUGCAACUAGUCAAAAAUGAUAAUGUACCAAUGCAACUAGCCAAAAAUGAUAACAUACCAAUACAACUAGCCAAAAAUGGUAACAUACCAAUACAGCUAGCCAAAAAUGGUAACAUACCAAUACAACUAGCCAAAAAUGGUAACAUACCAAUACAGCUAGCCAAAAAUGGUAACAUACCAAUACAGCUAGCCAAAAAUGGCAACGUAGAAAAGGCCCGUGGAGAUUCUCCUAAUAAGUUACUAAUUAAAAAUCAGUGUGCAUAUGCUAACAUAUUCGUAAACAAUAAAAUACAAAACAUUAAUAAUAGUAUUACUAGUAUAGACAAAAACAAACCUAUGAUGCCAUUGGUAAAUCAAAACAAUGCUGUAUUUCCUUAUGACGAAUUAAAAAAUUACGUUAUACAUGAUAAUAUAGAUAAUAACAAUAGUACUACCAAUAAUAAUAGCAACAAAACCAUUGUAAACAACACAGAAGGUAAUGUAUAUUAUAAUAAUUUUUUUUUACCAUACAUAAAUAACACAAGUGUUGAAAUGCGUAAUCCCUUUUUGAAAAGCAACAAUAACAGCAGUAGUAGUAAUAGUAGUAGUAGUAGUAGUAGUAGUAGUAAUAAUAAUAUUGAUAAACAAGGUAUUGCGCCCAACGUAGCGGUUAAUUAUAAAAAAAUAAAUCCAAACAAGUAUACGAUGUAUAACACCAUGCACAAUACCAUGCACAAUACCAUGCACAAUACCAUGCACAAUACCAUGCACAAUACCACGUGUCAAAGCUGGGAAGAUAUGAGUAAGUUUAAAGAAAUGUGUGUUAAUAUAAAUACUAACAAUAAUCAAUUUAUUAGUAUGAAUCAUAUAAAUGAUAAGGAACGAAAGAAGCAGUUCGAAAAACACGAACAAAAUAAUAUAGUAAGACAUAAAAAUAAUUAUCAAAUAAAUAAAUUAUCUGAUUCUAAGUUAAACAUGUCGACAAGCGAUAAUAUAGAUGAUGGGUCACAAUGGGUUAGUAAUUGCAAAUCAAAUGAAAAUAUAAAUAACAUUUUAAACAGCAAACAAUUUAACAUUUUUUUAAACAACAAAAAAACAUAUAUCCAACAAAAUACAAAUAAUUCAUACCAUUCUCUCGCUGUAAAUAAUAAAUCAAGCGUAAAUAAAAAUAACCCAAUUCAAAAUAAAAAAAAAGAUAUAUAUAACAACAUGAACGAUUUGAUAGUACAUGCUAGUAACGGUAAUAAUGCUACCACUGCUACUGUUGCUGCUGCUAAUGUUGCUGUUGCUAAUGUUGCUGUUGCUAAUGUUACUACUAACAACGUGUUUAAUACCAUUAGUAAAAACAGCUCGAGUUGUGCUUCAUCAAAGAAUGGAGGUAUGAUAGUUAUAGAAAAUAAUAAUGUUAACAGUGCGACUACAAGUAGUAACCAUAAUAAUGACAAAAACACUGCAACUAUUGGUAGCAGUAGUAGCAGUAGUAGUAAUAAUAGUGUUAGUAGUAAUAGUGGUAGUAGUAAUAAUAGUAGUACUAAUAGUAGUAGUACUAACACUAUGGGAAAUGUCAAAACUAUUAGUAAUAACAUUUUGAACGGUAGUGGAAAUGAAUUUUGUUUAUUUAAACAAGCACAACCUAAUUUUGUGUAUAAUAAUAAAAACAAAAAAGAUUAUAACAAAUAUUAUUUAAACAAAAAAUAUGACAUAAUAAAUAAAAGUUCUAAUGAUAAUAUGAUUUAUGCCACAAAUUAUAAUUCUAUUAUGAAUUAUAAUAACAAUCAAACAAAUAUGAUAGAUGACAUAAAAACAGGUGUGGCAGUAGGGAAUUAUUUAGUAAAAGGUGUCGACGUUAGUAAUGUAAAAACAAGUAUAAAAUAUGUUAAUAAUAAUAAUAAUAAUAAUAAUAAUAAUAAUAGUAGUAGUAGUACAAGUAGCAGUGGUAGUGGUAGUGGUAGUGGUAGCGGUAGCAGUAAUAAUAAUAAUACAAUUAAUAAAAUGAUAAACGAAAUGAAACCUAUAUUAUUUUAUAACUGCAAUAAUACACUAACGAAUAAUAAAAAUGUUAUAAAUGCAUCAUAUAUAGAUAAAAAUUUUGCUUAUAAAAAUAAUAGUAUUAACGAGGGUUAUACAAAUAUAUACAGCAACAAAAAGGAAAUGAAUGUAAAUAUAGUUAAUCAGCGAUUGAGUGUAGGAACAGGAACAGAACUGGAAGCAGGAACAGGAACAGGAACAGGAACAGAAAUGGAAGCAGGAACAGCAACAGAAAUAGAAACAAAAAAAGAAAAAGAAAAAGAAACAGAAAAAGAAAAAGAAACAGAAAAAGAAACAGAAACAGAAAAAGAAACAGAAAAAGAAACAGAAAAAGAAACAGAAACAGAAAAAGAAAAAGAAACAGAAACAGAAACAGAAAAAGAAAAAGAAACAGAAACAGAAAAAGAGCUAGGAACAGCUCAUCGGAUAUACAAAGAAAUGUCGACAUCAAAACAAAGUAUCGCAAAUUAUAAUAGUGAUGAUACACAGAUAGGUAGGCCUGAUGAUGUGACGAAUCUAAAGGAUCAACUGGUAGCAACACAAUUCGAAUCAACUUUAAACAAAUCAGAACAUAGUAAUAGUAAAACAAAAAAUAAUAUAAAAAAUAUGAAUUAUGAAGCAUUUCCAAACAGAGAUAAGAAAGAAGAAUUAAAUGUAAA